rnacentral:rRNA from 1 species
GAAACGCUAAUAACCGCAUGAGACUACAGAGCUGCAUGGCUCAGUGGUCAAAGGAGCAAUCCGCUGAAAGAUGGACUCGCGUCCGAUUAGAUAGUAGGCGGGGUAACGGCCCACCUAGUCGACGAUCGGUAGCCGGACUGAGAGGUUGAACGGCCACAUUGGGACUGAGACACGGCCCAGACUCCUACGGGAGGCAGCAUG